GACGAACGCUGGCGGCGUGCCUAACACAUGCAAGUAGAACGCAGUUGCGAACGGGUGAGUAACGCGUAGGUAACUGCCUCAUAGCGGGGGAUAACUAUUGGAAACGAUAGCUAAUACCGCAUACUGCGAGAUGGACCUGCGUUGUAUUAGCUAGUUGGUGAGGUAAAGGCUCACCAAGGCGAAGAUACAUAGCCGACCUGGGAGGGUGGUCGGUCACACUGGGGCUGGGACCCGGGCCAGAAUCCUACGGGGAGCAGCAGUAGGGGAUCUUCGGAAAUGGACGGAAGUCUGACCGAGCAACGCCGCGGGAGUGGAGAAGGUUUUCGGGUCGUAAAACUCUGUUGUUAGAGAAGCGGUAACUAAACAGGAAGGAACGGCUAACUACGUGCCAGCCGCCGCGGUAAUUC
rnacentral:rRNA from 1 species